rnacentral:rRNA from 1 species
CGAACGCUGGCGGCGUGCUUAACACAUGCAAGUCGAACGCGAAAGGGACUUCGGUCCUGAGUAAAGUGGCGCACGGGUGAGUAACGCGUAGAUAACCUGUCUUCAUGUCUGGAAUAAUACGCCGAAAGGGGUACUAAUACCGGAUAUUCUUGCUUUUCAUAAGUUAUGCAAGCAAAGGUGGCCCCUGCAUAUGCUACUGCAUGAAGAGGGGUCUGCGUACCAUUAGCUAGUAGGUGGGGUAAUGGCCUACCUAGGCGACGAUGGUUAGCGGGUCUGAGAGGAUGAUCCGCCACACUGGCACUGGAACACGGGCCAGACUCCUACGGGAGGCAGCAGUGAGGAAUAUUGCGCAAUGGGGGAAACCCUGACGCAGCGACGCCGCGUGAGUGAGGAAAAGGCCUUCGGGUCGUAAAGCUCUGUCAAGAGGAAAGAAGUGUACAAUGGCUAAUACCUGUUGUAUUUGACGGUACCUCUAAAGGAAGCACCGGCUAACUCCGUGCCAGCAGCUGC